rnacentral:SRP_RNA from 1 species
GGCCGGGCCUCGCGCGGCGCGCCCUCGUCAACCCCGCCAGGCCCGGAAGGGAGCAACGGUUCGCGAAUCGGCGCGGGUGCCGCGAGUCAACCCGGCUUCC